UACGUAGGGGGCAAGCGUUGUCCGGAUUUAUUGGGCGUAAAGAGCGUGUAGGCGGCCAGACAAGUCUGCUGUGAAAGUCGGGGGCUCAACCCUCGGAUGCCGGUGGAUACUGUCGGGCUAGAGUGCGGGAGAGGCGAGUGGAAUUCCUGGUGUAGCGGUGAAAUGCGCAGAUAUCAGGAGGAACACCAAUUGCGAAGGCAGCUCGCUGGAACGUAACUGACGCUGAGACGCGAAAGCGUGGGGAGCAAACAGG
rnacentral:rRNA from 1 species